CCGCAGUACACUAACUGUGCUAAGGUAGCAUACUAAUUUGUUUCUUAAUUAGAAACUGGUAUAAAAGAGCUGUCGACACUAGCCCUAUUCUACUGUCAUUUAAAGAGAAUUUAAUAUCUGCUUCAAAAAGAGCAGCUUUUUGGGGGGACGAUAAGACCCCGUGAAAUUUAAUUGAACAUUUUUUUUCCCCGCCAGCUGCCCUUGAAAUCUCGCGGGAAAAAAUUGUCAAAUUAAGCUGGGGCGGCGAUUAGUUCACUCUGAUAGAUAUAACACACCGAGUGAAAAUAUAGAGCUUUUUAAAAAAGUUGGAAUAAAUUACUCCGGGGAUAACAGCACAAUUCCUCCGGACAGGCCGCAUGGAAGGAGGAGACUUGUGACCUCGAUGUUGAAUUGAAAUGCCCGGGAAGAGCACAAAUUCCCCAGGGGAGUCU
rnacentral:rRNA from 1 species